rnacentral:rRNA from 1 species
GAUGAACGCUGGCGGCGUGCCUAAUACAUGCAAGUAGAACGCUGAAGCUUGGUGCUUGCACCGAGCGGAUGAGUUGCGAACGGGUGAGUAACGCGUAGGUAACCUGCCUCUUAGCGGGGGAUAACUAUUGGAAACGAUAGCUAAUACCGCAUAAAAGUCGAUAUCGCAUGAUAUUGAUUUGAAAGGUGCAAUUGCAUCACUAAGAGAUGGACCUGCGUUGUAUUAGCUAGUUGGUGAGGUAACGGCUCACCAAGGCGACGAUACAUAGCCGACCUGAGAGGGUGAUCGGCCACACUGGGACUGAGACACGGCCCAGACUCCUACGGGAGGCAGCAGUAGGGAAUCUUCGGCAAUGGGGGCAACCCUGACCGAGCAACGCCGCGUGAGUGAAGAAGGUUUUCGGAUCGUAAAGCUCUGUUGUAAGAGAAGAACGAGUG